CAGCAGCCGCCGCGGGAAUACAGAGGGUGCGAGCGUUAAUCGGAUUUACUGGGCGUAAAGCGUGCGUAGGCGGCUUCUUAAGUCGGAUGUGAAAUCCCUGAGCUUAACUUAGGAAUUGCAUUCGAUACUGGGAAGCUAGAGUAUGGGAGAGGAUGGUAGAAUUCCAGGUGUAGCGGUGAAAUGCGUAGAGAUCUGGAGGAAUACCGAUGGCGAAGGCAGCCAUCUGGCCUAAUACUGACGCUGAGGUACGAAAGCAUGGGGAGCAAACAGGAUUAGAUACCCGCGUAGUCCCUGUCUCUUAUAC
rnacentral:rRNA from 1 species